GAUGAAAAAAUGCUCAUUUGAUAGGAUGACAAAGUUUUCCCUGCAAAAAUCAAUGAUGCAGAUAAGAGAGAACAUGUUUUUAAAAAUAAUUUUUACAUGCUAUGAAACACCGGAUUAUACACAAUAAAAAUGUCUUUAGUAAAAAAAAAAAAUUGCUGAUAGUAAGGUAGAUUUGCAGGUGUGACCUUUGCCAACAUAUGUAGAUUAUCAUCAGAUCCACAUGUUUGUAGAAUUAUGUAACAGUGUUUAAGUGGCCAGGAAAGGGAGGAUUUUGUGGUCAAGAAAGUGGAAAUGUCCUAUUUAACAUAUGACCCUGGCCAGUCUCAUCUCAAAUUACUGUUGCUCAAGUUACAGAUGGUUAGCAAGCCAAGUGGGAGGGAAGAGAAAGGGCUGACAAACCUACAGUUAACAUGAGGCCACAAAGCCAGUGGCUGUUAUCAUUAAAAAUACAAACUUACUCAAGUCUUCCAUAUUUAAAGUAGCAAAGAAAAAAACUGUCUUGCACUGCAUUCUGGACCAGAAGACGUUGCUAUAAAUGGGUUUAACAUAUCCUUCCCUAAUAAUUAGGUUUUAGGAAAGAUAGAACAUAGUUUUAUGAAUGAACUGAAAAAACAUAUAAUUAGACCACCUUUCCCAGCUGACAGCUUUAUGAUCAUGAUUGAAAAGCAGUUUUUUCCUUUUGCACUUAUUUGCAUCUCAGGUUUUUUAAGCUUCCAAAUGUUUAAAACAUACAAGUGCCUGUGCUCUAGGAAUUUACUCUUGAGAGAAAACACCAUUAAGUGGAAAAAAAAUUUUAUCUCUACUAACACAAAAGCAAGUAUACAUAAAUUUAUGUAUUUAGUAUUGGUUUCAACCGAUUACCUUGUAAAGCAGUUCAGGGCUAACAGAGUACGUCAGAGUCAAAAAUAAUCCUAAUGUUGUUUGCUAUUAUGGCUGUGAAAAUUUUAGUCAAGUACAGACUGAAAGCCCAAAGGAUGCUAAAGGAUUAUCUAGAAAGCAGAGCCUCAAGCCAAGUUUAAGUGCUAAGAUUUUAUUAGGAGGUACGACCCCUGGGCUGCAAGGGUGAGGCGAAAGGCAAUGAAAAGCAAUGCUUCGCUAAUCUGAAAACAACUUGAGGAGAAAGUACAGCUUCCAGACAGCCACACUGGGACCUGCUGCCUAUGGAGAAAACAGGAGAGGUACUUAUUUCUUGCUCUCUGCCCUCUGUUGUAAGUUUGUCUCACAGGGCUCCAACGCCGCACUUUUCUGGGUAUGUCCCUGACCCUCCAGGCUAUUGGCAGAGACAAGAAUAGGCUGAACCUCUGUUUUUCACCCGAGUCUGGGACUGGUGGGAGGAGCCAGGGCCCCUCUGCACUAAGCUAGAGGCUAAGAUGAGAGACGGGGUGCAACUGAGCAGACCGGGGAGGUGCACAAGCUGGGUCUGGCACAGCGCAUCCUUCUAGGACCUGAGCUAUUUAUUCCUAGUGCUGGUGUUCACUGAUUCUUAGGGGAGGAGGAGCCACUCAAUUCAGAGAUCGCACAGAUAGCGCCUCGAUUGUGUAAAUGUAAUUAUCUUCCAUCAAACUGUCUCAAGUUCCUCACUACGCUUACCCAUUGCUUUAACUCUUCCCCUCCCGAGAGUUUUUGAGGUGUAAUUUGAAUCGGAUUCUUUACCGUCUGAGCUACUAGGGAAGCCCAAGAAUACUGGAGUGGGUAGCCUAUCCCUCCUCCAGGACAUCUUCCCGACCCCAAAAUAGAACGGGGGUCUCCUGAAUCGCAGGCGGAUUCUUUACCAGCUGAGCUACCAGGGAAGCCCAAUUUGAAUAUUAAAAAAUCCACCCAUUUGAAGACUACAAAGCCUUAGAUUUUGUCAACUGCACACAUCCUGUAACAUCCAGUCUAUCAAGGCGUGGAAUCAUGCCAUCGCCCCCAAAGUUCCCUCCUGCUCCCCUGCCUCCCAUCCUCUCGCCUCUUUCAUCCCUCCCCAGGCAACGGCUUUCCCCACCAGUUUUGCUUCUUCUAGAAUUUCAGAUAAACGCAAUCGGACAGACUAAGGUCUUUUGGGUUUACCCCCCUACCCCCACCUGUACCAAGCAAUUAUUAUUAUAUUUUUUUUAGAUCCAUCCUUGUUGCUGCCCGUAUUGAUAACUGGGUGCAUUUUUACGCUUCGCUGUUUUGGAGAACUUCCUCUCUGUGCUAAACGUCCGGCACUUUAUCUGCAUUCGCCGUUUGGAACCCUCACAACUACCCUGCUUUACAGCAGAGUAACCCGAGGCUAGGGGCGCCCGGCUGGGGAGCCCGGGGAGGAGGCGCGGGGUAGACACCGGCUAGUCAGAUUAUUACGCUUGCCCCGGUCGGGAGCCCGAUCUGCGGCACCUGCGGCUGGAGAGGGGAACGGUGGGUCUGGCCGUAUACAGCCGCGGACCGGACAAACGCCCCGGGACGGAGGCCUUGCCGGGCCGCCCGCGAGGCCGGAGCCAUGGAGGGUACUCCAUCCUACCGUACCCGGGCCGCCGGCCUCCAGAGCUGCCUGAUCCGGCUACGAGUAGAGGCGGGGCCGCGGUCUGGGGGCGCGCAAGGGCGCGGAGGAGCCGCAUUUCCGCGGACGCGUCACGUUGCUGGGCGCUUCACCACGCGCCGUUUCCCUCCGCGCGGACGGCGCUACUUCCCGAGGGGCCCGAGGACCCCAGUCGUCGGUGAUGGGUGAAUGUAUCUUGCAUGUUGAACCCUGUGACAGAGAACUUGACCCAUGGAGGGCAUACAAAUAAGAUUGCAAGAAGACCUGUCAGAGUUAUGGAAAUGAAAGGUGCGGUGGUAGGUGUGGAAGAAACAACAUGAAGUUGACAGAACUGCCAUUCCCAAGAAAGUGGUGAUUAUGAAACAUGCUAUUAUCCAAGUUUUGACAGAAUUUUGCUAGAGGGGCCACCACAGUGUUGACCUUGGUUGAUGGGUUUGACCUUUGCUAAGUGGGAUUCCUCAGUGGCUGCUGGAAGCUCUGAGAAUGGGACCAUCUGGAAAUGAGAAGAAUCGUCUGAUUUAAGCCACAGACAACAACUUAGAUUUGGGGAUUUAUGUCAUUUUCUCUUUGUGACUUUGCCUGUAUUCACAAUUUAAUGAGCUGGACAUCUUUUUUUUUUUUCCCCUUAUACUUUUAAAACAUUUUCAUUGCUCUUCAAAAACAUUUUGGAAAGUUUUCAUUAUUUAGCCUUUAAAUUUAGUAAAGCAUCUAAGGUUAACUUAGUUACAACAACCAAGAAGCGAAGAAUUAUUCUCACUUAUCAACACCAUCCUUCUGACUUCUCAAGAUGAAAACAUCCCCAUCAACAUGCUUUAUCCAAAUUUCUACUCCAAUAAAGCUUUUUUUUUCUUUCUGAGUUGCAUCAUAGAUCCUCUAAAGAACCCCCUGACAGAGGGUCUGUGUACAUUUUACCU
ensembl:lncRNA